CAGGCUUAACACAUGCAAGUCGAGGGGCAGCAUGGUCUUAGCUUGCUAAGGCCGAUGGCGACCGGCGCACGGGUGAGUAACACGUAUCCAACCUGCCGUCUACUCUUGGACAGCCUUCUGAAAGGAAGAUUAAUACAAGAUGGCAUCAUGAGUCCGCAUGUUCACAUGAUUAAAGGUAUUCCGGUAGACGAUGGGGAUGCGUUCCAUUAGAUAGUAGGCGGGGUAACGGCCCACCUAGUCUUCGAUGGAUAGGGGUUCUGAGAGGAAGGUCCCCCACAUUGGAACUGAGACACGGUCCAAACUCCUACGGGAGGCAGCAGUGAGGAAUAUUGGUCAAUGGGCGAGAGCCUGAACCAGCCAAGUAGCGUGAAGGAUGACUGCCCUAUGGGUUGUAAACUUCUUUUAUAAAGGAAUAAAGUCGGGUAUGGAUACCCGUUUGCAUGUACUUUAUGAAUAAGGAUCGGCUAACUCCGUGCCAGCAGCCGCGGUAAUACGGAGGAUCCGAGCGUUAUCCGGAUUUAUUGGGUUUAAAGGGAGCGUAGAUGGAUGUUUAAGUCAGUUGUGAAAGUUUGCGGCUCAACCGUAAAAUUGCAGUUGAUACUGGAUAUCUUGAGUGCAGUUGAGGCAGGCGGAAUUCGUGGUGUAGCGGUGAAAUGCUUAGAUAUCACGAAGAACUCCGAUUGCGAAGGCAGCCUGCUAAGCUGCAACUGACAUUGAGGCUCGAAAGUGUGGGUAUCAAACAGGAUUAGAUACCCUGGUAGUCCACACGGUAAACGAUGAAUACUCGCUGUUUGCGAUAUACUGCAAGCGGCCAAGCGAAAGCGUUAAGUAUUCCACCUGGGGAGUACGCCGGCAACGGUGAAACUCAAAGGAAUUGACGGGGGCCCGCACAAGCGGAGGAACAUGUGGUUUAAUUCGAUGAUACGCGAGGAACCUUACCCGGGCUUAAAUUGCAGAUGAAUUACGGUGAAAGCCGUAAGCCGCAAGGCAUCUGUGAAGGUGCUGCAUGGUUGUCGUCAGCUCGUGCCGUGAGGUGUCGGCUUAAGUGCCAUAACGAGCGCAACCCUUGUUGUCAGUUACUAACAGGUUCCGCUGAGGACUCUGACAAGACUGCCAUCGUAAGAUGUGAGGAAGGUGGGGAUGACGUCAAAUCAGCACGGCCCUUACGUCCGGGGCUACACACGUGUUACAAUGGGGGGUACAGAGGGCCGCUACCACGCGAGUGGAUGCCAAUCCCCAAAACCUCUCUCAGUUCGGACUGGAGUCUGCAACCCGACUCCACGAAGCUGGAUUCGCUAGUAAUCGCGCAUCAGCCACGGCGCGGUGAAUACGUUCCCGGGCCUUGUACACACCGCCCGUCAAGCCAUGGGAGCCGGGGGUACCUGAAGUGCGUAACCGCGAGGAGCGCCCUAGGGUAAAACUGGUGACUGGGGCUAAGUA
rnacentral:rRNA from 1 species